UGUUAAAAAUUUCAUUCAUUUGUACCGUUAAAACUGCCAUGCUAUGCUACAUGUACCUCAUGCUGAUGUAUAUGGAGCAGCUUUUAACAAUAGAAAUGGUUGUAAUUUUUAAUA
rfam:Gossypium arboreum cultivar AKA8401 contig_1188_3, whole genome shotgun sequence.